rnacentral:sRNA from 1 species
UGUUGUAUAGCUACUGCCACACACGGUC